CAUGGGAGGAUGCCGCCUCCUCCAGGAAGCUCUCUAGCGCCUCUCCGAGUCCUGGAGCCAGGCGGCACUUCUCUGUGGUCGCCUAGAAGGAGACCAACAACUGUCAGCACAGCAAAACUGAGCAUUUCAUUUCUAACCGAGCUUUGCAGCUACCUACACAGUUUUGUGUGGCAUCUCCUCCUGGGGACAAGGACAUGAGAUGACGGGUGCAGGAUCUAUCCUGGCUUAAAAGCCUUAUCCCCAUGGACACCAAUAUCUCUGUUACUAUGAUCUCCAGUAAAAUGUUUAAUACAAGUGGAGACAAUAGAUAACCUUUCCAACUCCUGAUGGGAGUGGGGAGCGGGGGAAGUGCUCAGUGUGCUAUUAAUUUAAGGCUUUUAUAGAUGUGCUUUAUCAUGUAAAGGCUGUUCCCUCCAAUUCUUUCUAUACUGUGAAAUUUUUUGAAAGAGGUGUUAAAUUUUUUCAACCCAUGUCACAAAUCUGCAUAUGUACUCCCCUAAACCUAAAAUAAAAGUUGGAAAGAAAAAUAAAACUAUUCCUUGAAACCCAUGUUGUCAUAGAAAAGAUGUUUUUAUAAAUUAAGUAAUGAUUGGUUGUGAGCUAUUGUGUCUGGAGUCAAAGGGUAUUAAAAUUAAUCUAAGAACUCUUGCCAUAACUACAAAAACAAAUGUGCCAGGCCACAAAAAAAUACAUGGUAAAAAGUUUUGUGCAUCAAAAGACACUAUCUAACAGAGUGAAAAGACAA